CGAAUGCUGACAUAAGUAACGAUAAAGCGGGUGAAAAGCCCGCUCGCCGGAAGACCAAGGGUUCCUGUCCAACGUUAAUCGGGGCAGGGUGAGUCGACCCCUAAGGCGAGGCCGAAAGGCGUAGUCGAUGGGAAACAGGUUAAUAUUCCUGUACUUGGUGUUACUGCGAAGGGGGGACGGAGAAGGCUAUGUUGGCCGGGCGACGGUUGUCCCGGUUUAAGCGUGUAGGCUGGUUUUCCAGGCAAAUCCGGAAAAUCAAGGCUGAGGCGUGAUGAC
rnacentral:rRNA from 1 species